AGGUUUUAUGAAAUUGCGCUGACCCAGUUUCUCUUGCUUUCCUUGUACACGAUUGGAUUGAAUGGCGUCUCGUGGAUUGAUCCUAGUUUAAUGGGGACAGGAUAAAUCAUUUUCAGCGUGGCAUUUGAGAAACGUGUGCCUCUGGACGCUUGGAACAGGUACCAUACCAUUUAACGAAAAGACAGUAAAGAUAGUCAGAAAACUUGUUAACCAAAAGUCAAUAACAUUUUACUUGGCUAGCUGAUUUGAAUUGGCAAACUCAGUUUCGAUGGGAAAACCAAAGCGGAAAAUCGUGGCUAGGCGAAACUAAAAACGCAGCCGGUUCCAUCGGAGACAGUGGCACGGUGUGUCAGUGACCCUGCGGUCGAGGCUGCUGCAGCAGGAAAACGCGAAACCACCGCACGGGUAGAUAUCGAUUUGUCUGUGUUCGCUAGGAAAAAAAGUUGGCCGGCCUUCUGACGUUCGCCGCUGAUAUUGCCCGCAGUUCACGCUAACGUGCCAUUUACUCACUCGAACGACCUCCUCACGGCCGUUCGUUCUACCUCCUGCCGUUCCACCUCCUCAUCAGCGUUCCACGAUCGUUCGUUUUAUCGAGGAAGCUCAGGAUGAAAGAUAAUAUCGAGACUGAUUAAAUAUAGCACAACGUUGCAGCAAGAUUUUCGUCCUUUUAAUGGGAAUACGGGAAUACGAGAAGAGAAAUAUUGGAAUCUUUCGACUUAAGACGGAACUUAACUCUUUGGCGCAUGGAUGAAUGUGAUGUUUGUUUGAGAGAACAACGCUUGGAUAGGAAAGGAAAAGCCGUAACUACAAGACUGUUUUCUUUUCUUAAACGCGGACAAAAAUUGCUCAUUGUGCGAUAAUUACACUGAUACAUUGGAGUAUGGCAAUGACGUAACAAUUGCAAACACAAUUCUCAAGAGUCCCACUAUUUGUAAACACAAGAUGGAAAAAUAGUGAAGUCUCGUCUUCAUUGAAAUAAACCGAGCAACCUGCUUGUUGCCUUUUCUACGGCAUCUCCAACAAGUUAAAAAAAUAUACCAAAUGUCCAGCUGGACGAAUUAAAUAAAUAAAAAAAAAAUU